AGGUGAAUGCUGUGAGACAAAACAGAAGAUGUGCCGAUGAAUGUUUUUAAUGCCUGAUGUCAUCAUCCAGCAACUGUCCCAAAGAUUCACCAGCUUAAAUGGAACUGUGAACAUGUUUGAGGACAUGUCAUGUUGUACUGUACAUUGAGAAUGACGGCUCAAAGAAAAUGGACAUACAGCGCACCACGGACAAGUCUGCGGAGCUUAAGGCUCGUCCAAACAGUGGAGGACGGCUUUCUUCAUGCAUGGCUUCCGUUUGCUGCACAGUGAAGAAUGUUGUUACCAGGCAACAGGCAUAACAAUGACACAGUGAACAGGUGCACAGGUGCAGGUGUACAGCUCAGUACAGUAGCAGCAGAUCUACAAACUCUCUUGGCAAGUUGCCAGGUUGGUAAACUUCAUCCCAUCCCAGCUGUGACAGAACAUCAGAGGGGACAAAACCCAACAGCCCUCAUCCAGUGAAACACAGGCCAGGAGCAGGGGGACAGUGUGCAGACAGACAUGACAUGGACUCUGACCUCGGUACAGACAGCAGUGUGAUGUCUGACCCUGGGGCUUGUUUGUGAUAGUACUGGUUAAUUUGUAUUAAUGGUGCAAAUUGCGAAGGAUAAUUACACUUCAAAUCUCCCUCUACAAAAUCAAAAAAUGUCUGUCUUUAUUCACUUUAGAAGUACAGUUCCUUUAUUUUUUUUGUCACGAAAUAUAUUAAAAUAAAUGUAAAAAAAAAAAAGAGCCUGUAUACAUAUACAUGUGCAAUUUAAGUGUUCAACGUAUUGUGUUGGUUUUCCCAACAGAUUGGGAUCAAUGAUGAUGAUCUCAGUUUUGUAUGAGACCCUGAUGGACAUCAAAUAUUUUUGUUUUAUUGGAAAUACUUUGUUAGAUUUAACAUUUUUAUUAUGAAAGGAAUAGUAGGGCUUGUAAAA